rfam:Xanthomonas albilineans GPE PC73 complete genome
AUGUACCCGCUGUGUACUGCGGUUUCUGCGCGCUGUACGCGCCCACCCGACAGCAGCUGGCGACGCUUUGUUAGUA